rnacentral:rRNA from 1 species
GGAUUCCCUUAGUAGCGGCGAGCGAAGAGGGAGAAGCCCAGCACUAAGCCCAUUAAUCUUUGAAUUGAUUAAUUGGGGAUGCAGUGUAUGGAGAGUUCAUUAGCUUAUUGCAAUAGAUAAGCAGAUUCAAGUCCAUCUUGAAUGGGGCUACUUAUCCCAUAGAGGGUGCCAGGCCCGUAGCAAUUGCUAUCUGUAAUUUGCGAACUUCUCCUAAGAGUCGUGUUGCUUGAUAGUGCAGCACUAAGUGGGUGGUAAACUCCAUCUAAGGCUAAAUAUAACCACGAGACCGAUAGAGAACAAGUACCGUGAGGGAAAGUUGAAAAGAACUCUGAAUAGAGAGUUAAAAAGUACGUGAAACCGUAUAGGGGUUAAGCCCGUUGAAUCUAAAUAUCCGAUUGAUGAAAUUCAAUACUGUUGAUUAUUGACAUCUAUUUGUUUAAUGAUUAUACAGUAUGCACUUUUCAUCUAGUAGGACACUGCAAUCCAUUAGGUUAAAUAUGGUAGCAAUAUCAUAUUUGAAUUUAUCUUAAGAAUUCAUAUAGAUUGUUUAUCUGAUAUAGUAUUAACACUACUAUUCGAUAAAUCUAUAUAAUGGAUUCUGAUAAUAUUCGACUGAUGGAUUGAAAACAAUCAUAUAAUAUACAUAUGUAAUU